rnacentral:rRNA from 1 species
GACGAACGCUGGCGGCGUGCUUAACACAUGCAAGUCGAACGGAAAGGCCCUGCUUUUGUGGGGUGCUCGAGUGGCGAACGGGUGAGUAACACGUGAGUAACCUGCCCUUGACUUUGGGAUAACUUCAGGAAACUGGGGCUCAUACCGGAUAGGAGCUCCUGCUGCAUGGUGGGGGUUGGAAAGUUUCGGCGGUUGGGGAUGGACUCGCGGCUUAUCAGCUUGUUGGGGGGGUAGUGGCUUACAAAGGCUUUGACGGGUAGCCGGCCUGAGAGGGUGACCGGCCACAUUGGGACUGAGAUACGGCCCAGACUCCAACGGGAGGCAGCAGUGGGGAAUAUGGCACAAUGGGCGGAAGCCUGAUGCAGCAACGCCGCGUUCGGGAUGACGGCCUUCGGGUUGUAAACCGCUUUCGCCUGUGACGAAGCGUGAGUGACGGUAAUGGGUAAAGAAGCACCGGCUAACUACGUG